UUGCCACUGGCAGGGGCAAGAUCUUUGCAUUAUUGCUUAGGCUAUUGGGGUGUUUCUCUUUGGAGUUUAUAUACAAACACACCCAAGGCUGAUGUUUUAUAUAUAUAUAUAUGUACAUGCAUGAAGGCCCACUACUCUUUCUUUGUGGAAACUGACAGUUCUACCUCAGGAAGCUGGAUACCAACCUUGGUCCCACUGUCGUUGCUAGAGGAGGAAGACAGUCGGGACUUCUUCGAGGCCAAGGACACGCCACUCCCCUGUAACUUGCCUGCCUCAUCAUCACUCCCAGUAACCUCAUAAUGACCUUUGCUCUUUGAUCCCAAGCCACCAAAGGUACCAAACUUCAGCUUUCCAUGCUUGCCUUUAGCGUCUCCACCUGCAAACUCCAAAGUCCCAGUUGGGGUGGAAGGCGCUGAGAACUCCCUCUCAUCACUGAAGGAGUUGGAGCGGUGUCGUGGCUUCUUACUUUUAAAUAGGGAGAAUUUGCCUUUGGGUGAAGAUGCUUCCGCUUCCACUUCUCCUUCCAGGGAGCCCAAGCUGGCCUUUGAGCUCUUCAGGUCCCCUUUGGACCCAGAAAUGGAUGCUUCAGGUGAGCCAGUGACACCACCUUUUCCUUUAGAUUUAGAAAAGAUAUGCUUGGGCAUUUUGAUUUUGGAUUUUUUCAGUUUUACUUCAGACUCUUCCCACUUGCCUUCUCCAGCACCAGCCUGCACAUUGGCCUCCACUUUAGGGAAGUUGACAUCCACUCCUACUUCUCUACCGAUGAGCUCGCGGCCAGAGAAGGUAAACUUAGGGAUCUUCAUCUUGGGGAAUGUUACUUUUCCAGAUUCACUUUCCAAGUGACCUUGAGGCCCAGACACACUCAGCCCGGGACCCUGGAGUCCGGUCUGGCCCCCUUUCACGUCUCCUUCUAUCUUUGGUCCUGAGAAAUGAAGGUUCCCAGCAAGUUUAGAUGUAUCCAAGUUUAGAGAAGAGGAGACUUGGGGUCCCUUCCACUCAACUCCAGAGCCUUUGACACUCAUAUGCCCUUCACCCAGGUUGAUAUCUGGGACACUGACACCCCCUGAAACAUCUACACCUCCUUUGACUUUGGGGCCCUUCAAGCUGACACCAAAAUCUGACUCAGGAGAUGCCACAUUAAAGGAAGGCCCCUUGACACCGAUAUCAGGAACAGCUCCAUGGAGACCUAGUCCUGAACCUUUCAGAUCUCCUUUAAUUUCGGGACCAGAAAUCUGCCCUGAUGAGAGUUUCACAUCACACCCAGAAGCCUUAAUUCCAGGCAUUUGGAGGUUUCCUUCUGGGCCUUGAAUGCUGAUGCCUGGAAGAGCUCCCCCAAUCGCUGGGCCUUUCAAUUCACCCGCAGCCCCGAGGCUCCCCUUCACUUUUGGUCCUUCCAAGUUAAAGUCCAUGCUUGGUGCUGAGAUCUGAGGCCCUUUCAGAUUCACAUCCAUCCCUGAUCCCUUUAGUUCUCCACAAACUUGUGGCCCCUUGAUGUUAAUGUCCAAGUCGGAUCCCGGAGUGGAGAUGCCAAACUGAGGCAGUUUCAUGUGGGGAAGUUUGACAGCACCUUCUGAAGCCUCCAAGCUAACAUCAGGAGUAGCCACAGACACUUUAGGACAUUUGAUGUCUCCAGACACAGCCAGAUCUCCCUGUAGACUUGGUCCCUUCAGUGUUACAUCUGGUGCCCCAACACUGAGUGCUGUUGUGGCAUCAAUCCCUGACAUUUUCACACCAUCUGCUCCUAUAUGUACUUUUCCACCAACACCUUUGAGGUCAAGACCUGGGGCGUGCAGCUUCAUGCUGGGACUGGAGGCACCCAGGUCUCCCUUCAAACUUGGUCCUUUCAAGUUCAUGUCAAGAUCAGGCCCAGACACUUUUGGCAUAGAGAGGUCCACCGAAGGCAAGUCUACUCCUGGGCCUUUUAGAGACAGAUGAGGCCCUUCAAGCUUCAUAUCUGAUGUGCUCAACCCUCCUUCAAGAGAGGGCAUCUGAGCGCCGAUCUCAGUGCUCCCACCUUCCAUUUUCACACCUGGGGCACUGAUCUUGGGCAAGGAAAACUUAGGGAACUUGAUUUUCCCUUCUGGACCUUGUAGAUCUAUGUUAGGUCCUUCCAGUCCCACACUGGGAACAUCACCUUUUAUCUUUGGUCCUUUCAAAUUAACAUUCACAUCGGGUAUGGAGACUUGAGGAGCAGAAACACUAAAAGAGGGUGCUUUGAUUUUAGCUUCAGGGCCUUCGAUGUUGAUGUCAGGUGUGUCCAAGUUUGCCUGCACCUUGGGACCUUUCAAGUUGCCCUCUAUCUUUGGCCCUGAGGCUUCCACGCCUGGCACCUUGAACUUGGGAGCCUUCAUAUGAAUAUCAGGAGCUUCCACAUUAAUCCCUGGUGAAGAAAUAUCCACAUCUGGUACCUUGAUUUCACCCUCCAGCUUGGGGCUAGGUAGGGGAGCCUCUGCUUUAAAUUUAGGUGACUUAAUGUCAAAUUCUACAUCUGGAAAGUACAUUUUUCCAAACAUAGUUUUCUUGACUUUGGGAGAUUUUACUUCAGCUUUGAGUGCAGCAUCAGGCCCUGCAACACUAACAUCUACAUCAGGAGCUUUGAGACUGGUAUCAAUCUCACCUCCAGGAAUAUUCAAAUCAAAUCCCUGUUUUUUGGCUUUAACUUUAGGACCACUCAUGUGAAUUUUAGGCAUUUUAAACUUGCUUUUCUUGCUCUUGCCACCAAUGUUUAUUUCAGGAGAAUCAACAUUCAGCUCUGCUUCAGGGACAGUCACAUCAACUGUGGGUGUCUUGAUGUCAGCUUUGGGGCUUUUUGCACCAAAUCCAAACUUGGGUUUCUUAAAUUUCGGAACUUUAACAUCCGGCCCCUCAAUAUUAAUAUCAGGGCUUUCCAUGUGGACAUCUAAGCUUGGAGUUUCUAAAUCAACUUUAGGCCCCUUGAGGUCUACCUCACCACCUCCUAACUUAGGCGCAGAAAUUCCAACUUUCGGUGUCUUAAGGUGCACAUUAGCAUCAGGCCCAGUUAUUUUAGGAACAGAUACCUCCAGCGAUGGCAUCUUCAAGUUAGGCCCACUAAGUUUAGCAUCAGGGCCUUCAAAAUCCAGACCUGGACCUUUCAUAUCUAUUUCAGGUCCUUUGAGAGUACCUUCAAUCUUAGGGACAGACCCAUCAAAGGCUCCUUUUACUUUGGGUCCUUUUAACUCCAGAUCAACAUCAGGCAUAGAGAUCUUGGGAGCCUUGAUGUUAAUCUCAGGCAUCCUGAAUUUGGGACCUUUUACUUUCAUAUCUGGACCCUCAACAUUAACAUCUGGAACAUCAAUGUCCACCUUGGGUCCUGAAACAUCAAGGUCAGCCUUGGGCAGAUUUACAUCCACUUCUGGGCCCUCUCCUUUGAAGCCAGGCAUGCUGAACUUGGGCAUUUUCACCUUGGGCAUCUUCAGGUGCCAGUCUGGGCCAUGAACAUCCACAUCUGGAACAUCAAUGUCCACUUUGGGGCCUUUGAUGUCAACUUCAGGAACUUUAAUCUCACCUUCCACUUUAGGCAGAGACACAUCCACAUCACCCUUCACUUUGGGGCCUUUCAGGUUUAAGUCAAUUUCAGGAACUUUAAUCUCACCUUCCACUUUGGGCAGAGACACAUCCACAUCACCCUUCACUUUGGGGCCUUUCAGGUUUAAGUCAAUAUCAGGCAUGGAGAUCUUUGGAGCCUUGAUGUUCAUCUCAGGCAUCUUGAACUUGGGGCCCUUCAGUUUUGCAUCUGGCCCUUCAAUGUUCACAUCUGGAACAUCAAUGUCCACCUUGGGUCCUGAGACAUCAAUGUUAGCCUUAGGCAGGCUCACAUCCACUUCUGGGCCCUCUCCUUUGAAGCCAGGCAUGCUGAACUUGGGCAUUUUCACCUUGGGCAUCUUCAGGUGCCAGUCUGGGCCAUGAACAUCCACAUCUGGAACAUCAAUGUCCACUUUGGGGCCUUUGAUGUCAACUUCAGGAACUUUAAUCUCACCUUCCACUUUGGGUAGAGACACAUCCACAUCACCCUUCACUUUGGGACCUUUCAGGUUUAAGUCAAUAUCAGGCAUGGAGAUCUUAGGGGCUUUGAUGUUCAUCUCAGGCAUCUUAAAUUUGGGGCCUUUUAAGCUUCCCUCUGGACAUUCUACAUUGAGUUCUGGGCCCUCAAUAUUCAUACUGGGACCUUCUAUAUUAAUGUCUCCUUUUGGUAAAUCCACAGCCACAUCAGGCCCUUCUGCUUUUAUGCCAGACACACCAAACUUGGGCAUUUUCAUUUUGGGCAUUUUUAGAUUCCAUUCUGGUCCAUGAACAUCCACAUCUGGUGCAUUAAGUUGAACAUCUGGUGCUUUAAUGUCCACUUUGGGUCCUUUGAAGUCUCCUU
rnacentral:lncRNA from 1 species